GAAUCCCGUCUUUGACACGGACUGCCUGUACAUUAUGGUGUGCUCUCGAAGAGUCGAGUUGUUUGGGAAUGCAGCUCAAAAUGGGUGGUAAAUGCCAUCUAAAGCUAAAUAUUGGCGAGAGACCGAUAGCGAACAAGUACCGUGAGGGAAAGAUGAAAAGCACUUUGGAAAGAGAGUGAAACAGUACGUGAAAUUGUUGAAAGGGAAACGCUUGAAGUCAGUCGCGCCGUUCGGGAUUCAGCCUUGCUUCUGCUCGGUUUACUUCCCGUUGGGUGGGUCAACAUCAGUUUUGGUCGGAGGAGAAAGGCUUGGGGAAGGUGGCAGCAUUCGUGCUGUGUUAUAGCCCCUUGUUGUAUACUUCGACUGGGACUGAGGACCGCAGCACGCCUUUGGCCGGGGUUCGCCCACGUACGUGCUUAGGAUGUUGGCAUAAUGGCUUUAAGCGACCCGUCUUGAAACACGGACCAAGGAGUCUAACAUGUGCGCGAGUGUUUGAGUGUUAAACUCAGACGCGAAAUGAAAGUGAAAAGUUGGGAACACUCAUGUGUGCACCGACGCCCGGAGCUGACCUUCUGUGACGCAUCUGCGGUAGAGCGUAUAUGUUGGGACCCGAAAGAUGGUGAACUAUGCCUGAAUAGGGUGAAGCCAGAGGAAACUCUGGUGGAGGCUCGUAGCGAUUCUGACGUGCAAAUCGAUCGUCAAAUUUGGGUAUAGGGGCGAAAGACUAAUCGAACCAUCUAGUAGCUGGUUCCUGCC
rnacentral:rRNA from 1 species